AUUUCGCCAAACAAGGAAUUUUAAAAGUGGCAUUGAAUGAUUUACAAGGAAUUUUAAAAGUAAGUAAGUGGCAUUGAAUGAUUUACAAGGAAUUUUAAAAGUGGUUAACAUGAUUUACAAUCGUUUUUAAAACACAAGUAAGUGUCAAAGAAUGAAUUACAAGGGAUUUUAAAAAGGGUUUGCAUGGUUUAUAAUCGUUUUUAAAGGAUAAAUAAGUGGUAUAAUUUACAAGAAUUUUAAAAGCUUAUAAAAGAGUAAAACAUGAUUUACAAGAGUUUUAAAAGAGUUUUAAAAGGAUUUACAAGGAUUUUAAACCCUUUUAAAUCCCUUGUAAAUCUUUUAAACUCUUUUAAAAUCUCUUGUAAAUCUUUUAAAAUCUUUUAAAACCCUUUUAAAAUCCCUUGUAAAUCUAUUUCUUGCCAAAAAAAAACUUUUAAAAUCUUUUUAAUCCCUUUUAAAAUGUUUGUGAAAAAAAGUUUUGGGAGGAAAUUUUUUGGCGGGAAAAAUGUUUUUGAAAAUAUUUUGGCGGGAAUUUUUUUUUUCGAAAAUUUUUGGCGAUAAAUUUUUUGGCGGGAAAAUUUUGGCGGGAAAUUUUAUUUUGGAAUAUUUUAGACGAAAAAUAUUAAUAUUUCAUUUUGUUAACAUAAAUCAAUUUACAAAUAGGGGUAAAAUGGUCAUUAAUAAUUUGAAGAGGGUAUAAAUGAAAAUGAUAAAUAGAAAAGGGUAGAAUUAAAAAGAGGUAGUGUGAAAAGAGCAUUAGAAAGAAUUUUUCUAUAUUUUAAUUGAUAUUGUUUUAGAAGAUAGUGUAAAAUAUUUAAAAUAAUAAGCUU
rnacentral:sRNA from 1 species